GAACGCUGGCGGCGUGCUUAACACAUGCAAGUCGAACGGAAAGGCCCUGCUUUUGUGGGGUGCUCGAGUGGCGAACGGGUGAGUAACACGUGAGUAACCUGCCCUUGACUUUGGGAUAACUUCAGGAAACUGGGGCUAAUACCGGAUAGGAGCUCCUGCUGCAUGGUGGGGGUUGGAAAGUUUCGGCGGUUGGGGAUGGACUCGCGGCUUAUCAGCUUGUUGGUGGGGUAGUGGCUUACCAAGGCUUUGACGGGUAGCCGGCCUGAGAGGGUGACCGGCCACAUUGGGACUGAGAUACGGCCCAGACUCCUACGGGAGGCAGCAGUGGGGAAUAUUGCACAAUGGGCGGAAGCCUGAUGCAGCAACGCCGCGUGCGGGAUGACGGCCUUCGGGUUGUAAACCGCUUUCGCCUGUGACGAAGCGUGAGUGACGGUAAUGGGUAAAGAAGCAUCGGCUAACUACGUG
rnacentral:rRNA from 1 species